rnacentral:rRNA from 1 species
AUUACCGCGGCUGCUGGCACGUAGUUAGCCGGUGCUUAUUCUUCAGGUACCGUCAUUCCCGGACUGUGUUAGAGCCGGUGUUUCUUCCCUGACAAAAGAGCUUUACAACCCGAAGGCCUUCUUCACUCACGCGGCAUUGCUGGAUCAGGGUUUCCCCCAUUGUCCAAAAUUCCCCACUGCUGCCUCCCGUAGG